GGGGAAUAUUGGACAAUGGGGGAAACCCUGAUCCAGCAAUGCCGCGUGUGUGAAGAAGGCCUUCGGGUUGUAAAGCACUUUCAGUGGGGAGGAAGGGGUGUUAGUUAAUACCUAACAUCAUUGACGUUACCUACAGAAGAAGCACCGGCUAACUCUGUGCCAGCAGCCGCGGUAAUACAGAGGGUGCAAGCGUUAAUCGGAAUUACUGGGCGUAAAGCGUGUGUAGGUGGUUGAAUAAGUUAGAUGUGAAAUCCCCGGGCUUAACCUGGGCACUGCGUUUAAGACUGUUUAACUAGAGUGCUGUAGAGGAUAGUGGAAUUUCCAGUGUAGCGGUGAAAUGCGUAGAUAUUGGAAGGAACACCAGUGGCGAAGGCGACUAUCUGGACAGACACUGACACUGAGACACGAAAGCGUGGGGAGCAAAC
rnacentral:rRNA from 1 species